rnacentral:rRNA from 1 species
UUAAGCGACUAAGCGUACACGGUGGAUGCCCUGGCAGUCAGAGGCGAUGAAGGACGUGCUAAUCUGCGAUAAGCGUCGGUAAGGUGAUAUGAACCGUUAUAACCGGCGAUUUCCGAAUGGGGAAACCCAGUGUGUUUCGACACACUAUCAUUAACUGAAUCCAUAGGUUAAUGAGGCGAACCGGGGGAACUGAAACAUCUAAGUACCCCGAGGAAAAGAAAUCAACCGAGAUUCCCCCAGUAGCGGCGAGCGAACGGGGAGCAGCCCAGAGCCUGAAUCAGUGUGUGUGUUAGUGGAAGCGUCUGGAAAGGCGCGCGAUACAGGGUGACAGCCCCGUACACAAAAAUGCACAUGCUGUGAGCUCGAUGAGUAGGGCGGGACACGUGGUAUCCUGUCUGAAUAUGGGGGGACCAUCCUCCAAGGCUAAAUACUCCUGACUGACCGAUAGUGAACCAGUACCGUGAGGGAAAGGCGAAAAGAACCCCGGCGAGGGGAGUGAAAAAGAACCUGAAACCGUGUACGUACAAGCAGUGGGAGCACGCUUAGGCGUGUGACUGCGUACCUUUUGUAUAAUGGGUCAGCGACUUAUAUUCUGUAGCAAGGUUAACCGAAUAGGGGAGCCGAAGGGAAACCGAGUCUUAACUGGGCGUUAAGUUGCAGGGUAUAGACCCGAAACCCGGUGAUCUAGCCAUGGGCAGGUUGAAGGUUGGGUAACACUAACUGGAGGACCGAACCGACUAAUGUUGAAAAAUUAGCGGAUGACUUGUGGCUGGGGGUGAAAGGCCAAUCAAACCGGGAGAUAGCUGGUUCUCCCCGAAAGCUAUUUAGGUAGCGCCUCGUGAAUUCAUCUCCGGGGGUAGAGCACUGUUUCGGCAAGGGGGUCAUCCCGACUUACCAACCCGAUGCAAACUGCGAAUACCGGAGAAUGUUAUCACGGGAGACACACGGCGGGUGCUAACGUCCGUCGUGAAGAGGGAAACAACCCAGACCGCCAGCUAAGGUCCCAAAGUCAUGGUUAAGUGGGAAACGAUGUGGGAAGGCCCAGACAGCCAGGAUGUUGGCUUAGAAGCAGCCAUCAUUUAAAGAAAGCGUAAUAGCUCACUGGUCGAGUCGGCCUGCGCGGAAGAUGUAACGGGGCUAAACCAUGCACCGAAGCUGCGGCAGCGACGCUGAUGCGUUGUUGGGUAGGGGAGCGUUCUGUAAGCCUGCGAAGGUGUGCUGUGAGGCAUGCUGGAGGUAUCAGAAGUGCGAAUGCUGACAUAAGUAACGAUAAAGCGGGUGAAAAGCCCGCUCGCCGGAAGACCAAGGGUUCCUGUCCAACGUUAAUCGGGGCAGGGUGAGUCGACCCCUAAGGCGAGGCCGAAAGGCGUAGUCGAUGGGAAACAGGUUAAUAUUCCUGUACUUGGUGUUACUGCGAAGGGGGGACGGAGAAGGCUAUGUUGGCCGGGCGACGGUUGUCCCGGUUUAAGCGUGUAGGCUGGUUUUCCAGGCAAAUCCGGAAAAUCAAGGCUGAGGCGUGAUGACGAGGCACUACGGUGCUGAAGCAACAAAUGCCCUGCUUCCAGGAAAAGCCUCUAAGCAUCAGGUAACAUCAAAUCGUACCCCAAACCGACACAGGUGGUCAGGUAGAGAAUACCAAGGCGCUUGAGAGAACUCGGGUGAAGGAACUAGGCAAAAUGGUGCCGUAACUUCGGGAGAAGGCACGCUGAUAUGUAGGUGAAGUCCCUAGCGGAUGGAGCUGAAAUCAGUCGAAGAUACCAGCUGGCUGCAACUGUUUAUUAAAAACACAGCACUGUGCAAACACGAAAGUGGACGUAUACGGUGUGACGCCUGCCCGGUGCCGGAAGGUUAAUUGAUGGGGUUAGCCGCAAGGCGAAGCUCUUGAUCGAAGCCCCGGUAAACGGCGGCCGUAACUAUAACGGUCCUAAGGUAGCGAAAUUCCUUGUCGGGUAAGUUCCGACCUGCACGAAUGGCGUAAUGAUGGCCAGGCUGUCUCCACCCGAGACUCAGUGAAAUUGAACUCGCUGUGAAGAUGCAGUGUACCCGCGGCAAGACGGAAAGACCCCGUGAACCUUUACUAUAGCUUGACACUGAACAUUGAGCCUUGAUGUGUAGGAUAGGUGGGAGGCUUAGAAGUGUGGACGCCAGUCUGCAUGGAGCCGACCUUGAAAUACCACCCUUUAAUGUUUGAUGUUCUAACGUAGACCCGUAAUCCGGGUUGCGGACAGUGUCUGGUGGGUAGUUUGACUGGGGCGGUCUCCUCCUAAAGAGUAACGGAGGAGCACGAAGGUUGGCUAAUCCUGGUCGGACAUCAGGAGGUUAGUGCAAUGGCAUAAGCCAGCUUGACUGCGAGCGUGACGGCGCGAGCAGGUGCGAAAGCAGGUCAUAGUGAUCCGGUGGUUCUGAAUGGAAGGGCCAUCGCUCAACGGAUAAAAGGUACUCCGGGGAUAACAGGCUGAUACCGCCCAAGAGUUCAUAUCGACGGCGGUGUUUGGCACCUCGAUGUCGGCUCAUCACAUCCUGGGGCUGAAGUAGGUCCCAAGGGUAUGGCUGUUCGCCAUUUAAAGUGGUACGCGAGCUGGGUUUAGAACGUCGUGAGACAGUUCGGUCCCUAUCUGCCGUGGGCGCUGGAGAACUGAGGGGGGCUGCUCCUAGUACGAGAGGACCGGAGUGGACGCAUCACUGGUGUUCGGGUUGUCAUGCCAAUGGCACUGCCCGGUAGCUAAAUGCGGAAGAGAUAAGUGCUGAAAGCAUCUAAGCACGAAACUUGCCCCGAGAUGAGUUCUCCCUGAAACAUUAAGAGUCCUGAAGGAACGUUGAAGACGACGACGUUGAUAGGCCGGGUGUGUAAGCGCAGCGAUGCGUUGAGCUAACCGGUACUAAUGAACCGUGAGGCUUAACCUU